rnacentral:rRNA from 1 species
CAGCAGUAGCCGCGGGAAUACGGAGGGGGCUAGCGUUGUUCGGAAUUACUGGGCGUAAAGCGUACGUAGGCGGCUUUGUAAGUUAGAGGUGAUAGCCUGGUGCUCAACACCAGAACUGCCUUUAAGACUGCAUCGCUUGAACGUCGGAGAGGUGAGUGGAAUUCCGAGUGUAGAGGUGAAAUUCGUAGAUAUUCGGAAGAACACCAGUGGCGAAGGCGGCUCACUGGACGACUGUUGACGCUGAGGUACGAAAGCGUGGGGAGCAAACAGGAUUAGAUACCCCUGUAGUCCCUGUCUCUUAUAC